UGUGGGAGCGAGCUUGCUCGCGAUGGCGCAGUGUCAGUCGACAUUAAUUUUGACUGAUGAAUCGCUAUCGCGAGCAAGCUCGCUCCCACA
rnacentral:misc_RNA from 1 species